UACGUAGGGUGCAAGCGUUAAUCGGAAUUACUGGGCGUAAAGCGUGCGCAGGCGGUGUUGUAAGUCAGUUGUGAAAUCCCCGGGCUCAACCUGGGAACUGCAUUUGUGACUGCAUUGCUGGAGUGCGGCAGAGGGGGAUGGAAUUCCGCGUGUAGCAGUGAAAUGCGUAGAUAUGCGGAGGAACACCGAUGGCGAAGGCAAUCCCCUGGGCCUGCACUGACGCUCAUGCACGAAAGCGUGGGGAGCAAACAGG
rnacentral:rRNA from 1 species